rnacentral:sRNA from 1 species
UUGAAAACUUGGAAUUCUCUAUUUAUCCACAGGCUAGGUACAGUACAGGCAGCUGCAAUGUGAGCUUACACGCACUGCGGUGAUAAUGAGUUCCACCCUGUUGUGCUAAAGGGAUCAUCCUCUCAGCCUCCCUCCUAGCUGUCC